CUCACGACUAUCAGAGACUCUUGGUAUUUGCCAUAAAUAAAAGAGUCUCCUGAUAAAAGUCGAAUAAUACUUUAAAUACCUUUCUGAAAUUCUUUUAAUUUUUUACAAUGAAACCUAAGAAACUAUUCGGUCACUGAAGUUCAACCAUUCGUCGAUGAAAUCCUAAUACAACCUCAGAAAUACAACAAUACGAAUUUCUGUAAUUUCGGUUUGAUUGCUUAGCAAAAGAUGGAGACAAAGCGCUACAUCUCCUGUGUGAAAGCCACAAUUAAUGUUCUAUAGAUCGUUACACCAGAUUGAUACAGGAGCUGAUAAAUUGUGGGUUAAUCAAUUCAGGUUGCGGGAACUUAGCAAACGUAUGUACACGGUUACCCCCAGUUAAUAUCAUGGCUAACAGUGGAUGGUUAUGAUGGGGAUUGUCGAUGUAUCUGAUCAUUCUUCUUUUGGUUCUUGAUUACUUGGUGAAGAAAUUCUUUGAUUUAGUACCAUGAAUUGUGAAUGAUUAAUUUUCAGUCUAAAUAAAGAUUUAGAUUCAGUUCCAUGAAUUGUAGAUGUAUUUUAAAUGUGAGAAAAAAAUCAAUCCUCUUAAUAGAUUGUAAUCUAGAGUUUUGAAUUAUGGUCUAACAUCUUUCAUUCAAGAUGUUUCUACUUUGUUAA